UUUGCCUACGGGAGGCAGCAGUGGGGAAUAUUGCACAAUGGGGGAAACCCUGAUGCAGCGACGCCGCGUGAGCGAGGAAGUAUUUCGGUAUGUAAAGCUCUGUCAGCAGGGAAGAAGAAUGACGGUACCUGAAGAAGAAGCACCGGCUAAAUACGUGCCAGCAGCCGCGGUAAUACGUAUGGUGCAAGCGUUAUCCGGAUUUAUUGGGUUUAAAGGGUGCGCAGGCGGUCUGUUAAGUCAGCGGUCAAAGCCCGGGGCCCAACCCCGGCCCGCCGUUGAAACUGGCAGUCUCGAGUUGGAGAGAG
rnacentral:rRNA from 1 species